UCAGCUUCAUUUCUCUUCAUUUUCUGCUGCCAAGAGCCGAGAGAGAGAGAGAGUAAGAAUAAGAGAGGAAAAACAAAACUCUUCUCCAUUUCUUCUUCAAUCCACCAACAAAGUGAGAAAUCAAACAAAAGAAACCGAUUAAUCUUGUCUUUGAGUGGUUAGUUAGUGUUUGGUGGUUAAAGUUUGGAAAAGGAAAGCUUGGGGCUGCUUUUAGAGACUUCUAACCAAGGUAAGAGAACUCAUCUCUCUAAGUUUUGCUUUUGAUUUUGUUAAAUUAAGUUAGUAGUUUGAUUAUAGUGGUGGAAUCAUGGAUGAUUAGCAUGAUUUAGAGGUUUUCCCCAAUUUAUUUGAUGAACUAGGGGUUCUGAUUUUCUGCUCAAUGUGAUGUAUGAUGUGUAAAUGUUGCAAUUAAGGUUAUAUAAGGUUGUUUAGUGGUGAUUAGAACCAGAAAUUUGACGAAAUUACACUUAGAGCUAAACAUUCCAGAUUUCUGGAAAAUUUCCCAAGCAUUCUGUCCGAAAUUGUAUCUAUAUGUUAGAGGCCGAUUUGGCCUUUGAUCAAAUAAGGAAAGUUGUAGAGAAUGGCAUUUUAUAGGUGCCUGUAAAAUUUCAGCUCAAUCGGAGCAACGGAGGUCGUGAAAAGUCCAAAAUACCCCUACUGUUUUAAGAAUUUCCCAGCAGUCCGUUUCUUCAGUUCAGUCCAGUUUAUCACGAUUUUUGACCAGGAUCCAUUCUGAUUUAGCUCUGGGCCGAAACUUGAAAGUUGUAGUGUUCUGAAGUAGCUUUAAAAUACCUCAAAGAACACCUGAUUCGGACUUGUGUACACUGAGUUAUGACCAUUACAGUGUUCUGCGUUUAAGCUGCCGGUGAAUUGGUUUCUGGUUUAGUAAUUGGCGAAUUUGACCAAGUUACAUUAGAAACUGGACUUAGUGAUAUUCAUGAACAUUGUAGCCCUGAGUCUUAGCUUCGAAACGGCAUAGGUUUCGCCUUAAUCCGAUUAGCGUAACUUCGGAUAAGUUAUUUCCGCUUUUAUACGUCAAAUCUGUCUUUCGGCUAUAUGGAAUUUCUGUUCUUGCUAUUGAUGCGAAUCUUAUUAUUAUGAUAUUGUGAGCCUAUGGAACGGCUCUUGACCUGAAUUGCUUAUAUGUAUGAUGUUGGGUUGUGUUUGAGAAAAACAAUGAAGCCUAAAUGGCUGGAAAUUAGGUAAACACAAAGGGCAUGCUGCCCAAAUUUACGCUCGAGGACUAUAUAAAUACACUUGCGACUUGGGUCGAGUUGAUAUGAAUAGUACUUGAACCAUCUAGGGUACUUGAGUCUUCUUGUUCGAGGUAUAUAAGUAAGGACUUGGCCGAACUUGUACCCUUGAGAAAUGAAAUAAUGAUUGCUCAAAAUACGUUUUCCCUUGUACUUUCGACUCGCAUGACCAUUUCAAGUAUAAAUGUUACAAAGUUUUAUCAUUUAAAAAGUGAGCGAGUAUCUCACGAGUAUUCUCCAAGUGAAUUUCAAUUUCUUGAUUCUUAUUGAACGAAACGUCUAAGUUUCGAACUCUAGUCAUGUUUCAAAGUUCUCAAAUUGAGUUUUAUCGCAGAUUUGGACUCCGAACUCGGAGUAUAACCUGAAAGUGACCAGUAGCACUAUAUCUUUUGGGUGAGUGCUUUCAAAUACCGAAUUGAACUUGAUACUUGAACUUGAUACGUGACCAAUCUGAUUACAUGUUAUAUACGUGAAUUGUAAAGGCAAGAGUGUACUUUAUCGCACUUGCCCUUACGUGAUAUACUUGUUUAUUGUUGCAAUUGACUUGAUAUACUUGUUUAUGAUGCGCGCACUUCCUGGAAUUCCAGAAACCCUGUGGCGAGUUACUCUAGUCGAGCCGGCAAGGGCUUGGUCGAUUGGGUAACGAACCCUGGGUCUUUUGUAUUGUUGAGUGGAGUGAUAUCUCCUCGACUAAUCGGUAUACUCGAGUAUUACCACCCGUGUUUAUUGAGGAUUUUGGGCCCAGUAGGGGGUGUGAAUGGUGGACGGAGAGUCGUGUAAGUGGUGUUCUACUGGAUUAGUUACUCACUUGAAAGUUGACGGAGUGUCAACUACUACGUGAUCAAGCUUCUGGUAAUGCAAAGGGGAAUUUGGCUCCUGAGAGCCAUCCGUAUCCUUAUGCUUUGGAAUACUUAUUGUUUAUUGGAUUAUUGUUUCUUUUGAAAAAUCUUCUACAUUUGCUCAUUUUAAGAUUGCUACUUGACGUGUUACUGUUCACAUUUAUGAACACUUUAUGAACUUUAUGCUCGUUACUUUGCUAUAUCGAAAACUCGUACUUAUAAAUAAUGGUCAAUUUGCUAUUUGGAACCUCACUGGGCUUUUAGCUCAUUCCACUCCAUUUGUUUUCCUUUCAGGGGUACGAGCGAGGCGUGAGAUAUGUAAAGUCUAGCAUAGACUAGCUAUUUGAUUUUGACUUGUACUCACGCUAUUCCUCGGAUGAAACAUGUUGUACUUGGAUUGUAUACGUUCUGAACUAGUUUGGUGUAUUGAGACUUUGUACUUCGAUUUCUAUUAAUGUAAAUUAUAAGCUUGAAUUGGGAAUGUUAUUUAUGGUUCAUGGAUGUGUGUACGUGACUCGAUUGAGAUAGUGA
rnacentral:lncRNA from 1 species